rnacentral:RNase_MRP_RNA from 1 species
GCGCAUGUCUGAAAACUUGUAACCUAAGCUACGAACAGGGAGCCUCGUUUCACAAUCAUUGCUUAGGGGAAAGUCCCCGGACAUUGGACAGAGAUGUUCUGCAUACAGCGCAGAGCGACUUCGGUAGUGUGUUAUAAUGCUAAGACGUUUUUGUGACAGAGCACAACGCUUGCAAUCCACAUUUGUCAAUAUCACAGAUAUUCAAGUGAAGCACACACGUGCUGCUACAGAACGGGGCUCAUUCUCAGCAUUCG